AACUUGGUAUUCUUUUUUUUUUCUUCAAUCUUAUAAACAAAAAUACAAAAUAAAAUCAUUCAAGGCUGGGAAUUUAGUUCUAGUAAAACACCAGAUACCAGCUACAACGAAAGUCGAAAAUUAGAGGCGAAAUUCAGGUGCCCAUAUAUUAUAGCGAGUUUUAUAAAACGAUAGGUGUGGUAGAGUAUAUACAAGGAUAACAUUUUUCAUUGCAACACUUUCUUUUCUUAUUUAAGAGUGAUUUCCUCACUACAUGUAUUUCGACUUCCAUUUUGCAGUAGGUUGAAGGGGGCCACAGGGGGCUUCUUUGCUUCUAAAAUAUUGUUUAAAUAUUUACAUAGCAGUCUAUAGUAUACAUAAGUGUUAGGCAUUUAAUAAAAAAAAGUCUCCAUAAAAGUGGUCAUAUGGUGCAUAUAUACAAAAAAUAUUUUUAAUCAUACAAGAUGCUCCAUUUCUUCUGGGCGCUAACUAACUUACAAUGUAUCUCUCACUCCCAUCCAGUAAAUCAAUGCGUUUUUUUAGGUAAUAUAGGCAUAUAGGAAUAACCCCUAUAGUUUUUCUGUAGAAAGUUCUUUGCAAUUUUCAAGUAAUAAACAAUUAAAAUAAAAAAAUAGCAAAUUUUUGCGUAUUAUAUCUUAAUAAUUCAUUAAAAUUAACAAUAACUAUUGCAAAUUGUUAUAUAUCUUGAUAUUACGUGGAAAGAUAGAUUUAAUAGUACUUAAAAUGUGAUUAAAAUUUCAAUUUGAUUAUUUCAUUAGUUUUUGGAUUAUAGAAAUUGUUUAUCUCAGAGAAGUUAUUUUUGCAAUAUAGUAGUACGCACAACUUUGGACAGACAGAGAUUUUGUAGGUUUUUUCUGGAAGGGCAGGUGUUUUUCUACAAUGAUGUUUAAUUAGAAUAAGAAAAAAGACAUUUUAAUUGUUGCAAAAUGUCGUUACAAAAGUGCUACCGUACGCACAACUUUGGACAGAAAGAGCUUUUGUAGGUUUUUUUGGAAGGGCAGGUAUUUUUCUACAAUGAUGUUUAAUUAGAAUACGAAAAAAGACAUUUUAAUUGUUGCAAAAUUUCGUUACAAAAGUGCUUUCAUUUUGGUUUAUUAACAAAUAAAAUAACUUUAUUGCUAUAACUGUUAGAAAUAUGCCGUUUUUAUACUUAGAAAGAGGACAUUUUUUAAUGAAUUUAAAAAGUUCCUGAGGAAAGUAACGUUUUGUUUUUUUAAUUCGCAGCUAUUUUGUUUAUAACAAUUAAAGACAGUCAUAUAAAGAUAAAUUAUUUCAACAGGAUGUCAUUUAAGUGGAUCAGUUUCUAAUAAUUUACUAAUUAAACUGCAUUAGUAUAACUGAAGGCACCUAUAAAAUGUAUUAUGUAUCUAUCAUAGGUAUAGAAAGAAUUUUCAUCUAUAGGUCUCCCGGCUCGUUUGUCGCUUCAUCUUGUCAUUCAAUCGUAUUCAAUUGUGUUCGGUCCUCGAGAAGGAGAUGUACCACCAUUUUUGCCGUCCAUAAAUGGAAACGACGCCUGAAAGCUUGCUUUGAGAUUACAUCCUUGGAUUCGAGGGACAAACAGUACUUGCAGAUUUGUGGCAAUCAGACAUAUUUUUAUUUCCAAGUAUGCUUCUAAUGAGCUGGUCAAAAAAUUCAUAGGAUACAGGGAGAGGAUAAUUCAAAUGGCCACGAAACGCGGGGAAGCAGAACCCCAAUCAUGCUUCUUUUUGUCGGUCUUGGACAGGGAUGCAUUUAAAUGUAUUAAAUGAACAAGGAGACAGAAAAUAAGAAGGAUUCAAAACCUGGAGAAGUGGAGCCCCUUUAAUUUUCCCUCCCCUUGGGCGUGAAGGUGCAAUUU